UACGUAGGGGGCGAGCGUUGUCCGGAAUUAUUGGGCGUAAAGAGCGUGUAGGCGGCCCGGCAAGUCCGCCGUGAAAGUCCGAGGCUCAACCUCGGGAUGCAGGUGGAAACUGUCGGGCUUGAGUUCGGAAGAGGCGAGUGGAAUUCCCGGUGUAGCGGUGAAAUGCGCAGAUAUCAGGAGGAACACCAAUGGCGAGGGCAGCUCGCUGGGACGACACUGACGCUGAGACGCGAAAGCGUGGGGAGCAAACAGG
rnacentral:misc_RNA from 1 species